UUAUUGAAUCACCAGUUUAGGUUAAGCAUUUGAACAUGUACAUCUGCCAAAUGUGUGGAGCUAGAUCUAUGUUUACAGCACCACACACCUAAUGUUGUGUUUUGUUAAUGUGUACAUUUUUGUUUCUAAAAAUUUGAAAUAUUCAGCAUUGACACUUUACUAUCACUUAAAAUUUUAAUAGAAUAACUUUUCACUUUGAAAAACAAGAUGUACAGUUUAGUUUUCUUUUUUACAAACAAACAGCUUUUAAUUUUAAAAAAUUCUAUGUAUUUAGUUUAAAAAUGGUAAUAUUUUGAAGCUACAUUUUCUUCCAACACUGUACAAGUACUUUUGAUUUUACCUGCUGUGUUCAACUCAUAGAAUUUUUGCCCUUGAAAUUAUUCUGCAGUAUGCAAAUUUGAUGAUGUAAUACACAAUAAAUGACGAGAUCUCCUAGUUACAUGCACCAAUAUCAUAGAUGUACAUGUUCAAAUGCUUAUCCUCUCAUCAUUGAUGAAAAUGGUGCUUAAAUGAUACCAAUUGAAAUAUGCAUAAUUUUGUUAUAAAUUAUAAUACAUGUACAGGGUUGUCUCUAACCUAUAUAUUGCCUUAAUAACCCGUCUAUUUUUCCAUUUCAAACACAAUGUAGCUAUAAGCAAGACCCCCAGACCCCCUUCUACUUUUUCAUUUCCUCCUUCUUCAAUUUUUAGAGACAACCCUGCAUGUAUAUGAAUGCAUGUACAGUUAUAACCAUCCAUUCUACAAGCCAUUUUAUCUAUUGUUUAACAAUCACAUUGUUGUUGAUGAACUCAAGAUAUUCCUUUGUUUCCAGUACUUUGAUAAGAAAAACCAAUAUGGGUAAACAUCUUUUAUUACAUGUAAUACUUUUUACCUUAAAUCAAAAAAUAUGUAGCAGGAAAAUGCAUACAUUUUGUGUUCAUUGGUUAUUAAGUCCUCAAAUAUUACAAGUGCUAUAUUAUAAUCAAAGUGUGCAAGGGGAGCGAAACUUGUUAUUUGCUUGUUUCCAUAAACAAAUACAUGUAAUUUACAUGAGACCAUUAAUAUAUGUACUUCUUAAUUUUAACAUUUAAUUUUGAUAAUUUUCAGUAAUAAAUUGGAAUUCCUGGUGUAAAAGCAAAAAACUUAUAUAACAAAGAACAAUUUUUUAAAAAAAUUCACCAAUUUUGAAUUGAGGCAUGAAAUGAAGUUUGAUGGGAAACCUAUUGCAUGUAUGUGUAAGAUAAAUAUCUGGAUUUACAGAGCAUUGUCUAAGCAUUUAUUUUAAGUUCAAGAUGAUGCAUUAAGCUGAAAUGUGUUAUUUUCAAAAUAGAUUUACAAAAUGAAAGUGCUAGCAGGAUAUUUGAAGAUGGCUUUUGUUCAGCAUAAUGAAAUCGUUUAUGGUUGCAAAACAGAGAAGUAGAGAAAACUUGAUUCCAAUUGUGUGAUAGUUGUCUGCUGGUUUGAGAGCAUUUGUUGUGUUAAUAUUCUGAUUCCAAUACUGUAAUAUACUAACUUAUUUAUACAUCAUUUUGUUGUGUGCUAUAUGCCCAUUGUGUGCCAAUUUUGUUAACAUUAGUAGUGCAUUCCUGUAUGGUUAAUCUUGUCUAAUCUGUAAAGGUCGAUUCUUUAUCUUAUCUUGUCUAGUUUGUAAUUUGUCAUUUUCAUCAAUUUUGUCUAUUUUGUUGUUAUCAAUGUCUUUUAUUUAAGUUGUUGAAUCGGUAGCUUUUUCCUAUGAAACUUGUCUAUUCCGGCAAUAUUUAAUCUGUGGCUUUUCAUAUCUGAAACUUGUUUAGCUUGUUUUUCUUACUACUGUAUACAGGGUUAUUUUUGCCCCGUGUUAUUUUCGCCCCUCUACACUUGCAAACGAUUUCACCCGUCUUGAAUUUGCCCAGACACAUUUGUACAUGUACUAAAAAGGAUAUACUGAGGAAUCAUCAUCAUUCAUGGGGGACCAAUGAAUUUACAUCCCCACGAACCUUUACACAAUCAUUAGUUUGGUAUUUAUUAAAAUUAUCCCGAUUACACUACCAACGAAAUUACGUCCCCACGAACCAGGAAAAUCUUGGCUACCCAUAAACAUUGACCCCCAGGAAUUAAAAAUGAUUCCAAAGUCAAAUAAAAAUUUGAAUUCGCCCAGUCUUAAAUUUGCCCACUGACAACGAGGGCUAAAGAGGCGAAAAUAAAAUGAGAGCAAAUAUUUCCCUGUAUACAGAAUCGAUAAAGCUGAAGUUUGAUGGAAUUAUUUAUCAAAAGUUCAGACAAAUGACAUUAAAAAUGAAUGUAAUUUAUUCAGUAUGGUAAAUUAAUGUAAUGAACAUCCACUUUAUUUCUGGGUCCAGUUCAGUCCCAAUAUUAUCACCUCAAAAUGCAUGAUGAUUGUUCAGAAUGAUUGAAUAUUUUGACAAAGAGUGUUAUUCUCUGACUGAUGUUAUUAGGUAGUGGGAUUUUGUUGUAAUAUAUAGACAUUUAGUCAUUUUAAAUUACAUGUUGCUUGAUCUUAAUUCAUAUAACAGCUAUAUGUGAUGCAACUUUUCCUAUGUUGCUGUCCAUUAACCAUUUUGUUUCCAAUUGAAAACUUGAAAUUUACUCUAUAUGAAUUUAUUUGAUAUUAAAUUGUUGAACAUUUGCUU
rnacentral:sRNA from 1 species